AAAACAAAUGAUGAUAGCUAGACAGGGACAUCAGAACCUUGAAUUUCAGGGUUAUGACAGACUACGUCUAUAAUGGGAAUCUCUCUGAUGUUUU
rnacentral:snoRNA from 3 species